rnacentral:rRNA from 1 species
GAUGAACGCUGGCGGCGUGCUUAACACAUGCAAGUCGAACGGAAAGGCUCCUGCUUGCUGGGGUUCUCGAGUGGCGAACGGGUGAGUAACACGUGGGUGAUCUGCCCUGCACUUCGGGAUAAGCCUGGGAAACUGGGUCUAAUACCGGAUAGGACGAUGGUUUGGAUGCCAUUGUGGAAAGUUUUUCGGUGUGGGCUGAGCUCGGGGCCUAUGAGCGUGUUGGUGGGGGAAUGGCCUACCAAGGCGUCGACGGGUAGCCGGCCUGAGAGGGGGUACGGCCACAUUGGGACUGAGAUACGGAGCAGACUCCAAUGGGGGGCAGCAGGGGGGAAUCUUGCACAAUGGGCGCAAGUCUGAUGCAGCGGCGCCGCGUGUGUGAUGACGGCCUUCGGGUUAUAAACUGCUUUCGCUAGGGACGAAGCUCAAGUGACGGUACCUGGAGAAGAAGCACCGGCUAACUACGUG